rnacentral:rRNA from 1 species
AGAGUUUGAUCAUGGCUCAGAUUGAACGCUGGCGGAAUGCUUUACACAUGCAAGUCGAACGGCAGCACGGGUGCUUGCACCUGGUGGCGAGUGGCGAACGGGUGAGUAACAUAUCGGAACGUACCCAGUAAUGGGGGAUAACUAGUCGAAAGAUUAGCUAAUACCGCAUACGCCCUGAGGGGGAAAGCGGGGGACCGUAAGGCCUCGCGUUAUUGGAGCGGCCGAUAUCUGAUUAGCUAGUUGGUGGGGUAAAGGCCUACCAAGGCGACGAUCAGUAGCUGGUCUGAGAGGAUGAUCAGCCACACUGGAACUGAGACACGGUCCAGACUCCUACGGGAGGCAGCAGUGGGGAAUUUUGGACAAUGGGCGCAAGCCUGAUCCAGCCAUUCCGCGUGAGUGAAGAAGGCCUUCGGGUUGUAAAGCUCUUUCGCAAGGGAAGAAAACUUACCUUUUAAUAGAGGGUGAGGUUGACGGUACCUUGAUAAGAAGCACCGGCUAACUACGUGCCAGCAGCCGCGGUAAUACGUAGGUGCGAGCGUUAAUCGGAAUUACUGGGCGGUAAAGCGUGCGCAGGCGGUUUUGUAAGUCAAUGUGAAAGCCCCGGGCUCAACCUGGGAACUGCGUUUGAAACUACAAGGCUAGAGUAUGGGAGAGGGGGGUAGAAUUCCACGUGUAGCAGUGAAAUGCGUAGAGAUGUGGAGGAAUACCAAUGGCGAAUGCAGCCCCCUGGCCUAAUACUGACGCGUCAUGCACGAAAGCGUGGGGAGCAAACCGGAUUAGAUACCCUGGUAGUCCACACCGUAAACGAUGGGCACUAUGUGUAGGGGGCGUAACCUCUGUGCCGCAGCUUACACAUUAAGUGCCCGCUGGGGAGUACAUCGCAAGAUUUAAAACUCAAAGGAAUUGACGGGCCCGCACAACAAGCCGGAGCAAUGUGGUUUAAUUCGAAGCAACGCGAAGAACCUUAC